UACAGAAGGUGCGAGCGUUAUUCAUAGUUAUUGGGCGUAAAGGGUGCGUAGGUGGGCAGGUAAGUCAGUGGUGAAAUCUCCGGGCUUAACCCGGAAACUGCCAUUGAUACUAUCUGUCUUGAAUACCGUGGAGGUGAGCGGAAUAUGUCAUGUAGCGGUGAAAUGCUUAGAUAUGACAUAGAACACCAAUUGCGAAGGCAGCUCACUACGCGAAUAUUGACACUGAGGCACGAAAGCGUGGGGAUCAAACAGG
rnacentral:rRNA from 1 species